UACAGAGGGGGCAAGCGUUGUUCGGAAUUACUGGGCGUAAAGGGCGCGUAGGCGGCCGCCUAAGUCAGACGUGAAAUCCCUCGGCUCAACCGGGGAACUGCGUCUGAUACUGGGUGGCUUGAAUCCGGGAGAGGGAUGCGGAAUUCCAGGUGUAGCGGUGAAAUGCGUAGAUAUCUGGAGGAACACCGGUGGCGAAGGCGGCAUCCUGGACCGGCAUUGACGCUGAGGCGCGAAGGUCAGGGGAGCAAACGGG
rnacentral:rRNA from 1 species